AGAGGAUUCAGUCUGGAGUUGGCGUCGCGCUGGUCGGAAAGAUAAGGUAAGGGCUUCCCGUGAACGGGGCCGUCCGACCGCGAGCUUCGUCUAAGGCCAGACGCAUUUGUCUCUCGUUCGAAGGACGCCGCAGCCGGUCGGGCAGUGCAAACGUGACGUCCUGGAAUGCGUGCGACGGCAGUUGGCCGGUGGUCUCCGCCCAGGAGUUCCGCCGGUUGUUAGCCGGCGCGCAGGUGGACCGUCGCCCGACCGUGGUAUCGAGAUGCCCCGUGAUCGGGGCGUCCGCGCCUCCUCCUCGUACCGGAAUCGGGACUUGCCGUCGCGAGCGAAGGCAGCCGCGCGGCCGCACCCUCGCUGGGUGGGCCAGCGUCUAGUCGGCGCCGGCGGCGACGGAGGACCCGUAGGAGGUCGGAGGUUGGCGGCGAGUAGGUCGGUCACCCACCCGACCCGUCUUGAAACACGGACCAAGGAGUCUAACAUGUGCGCGAGUCAAUGGGUCUCGAAUAAGCCCAGAGGCGCAAUGAAAGCGAAGGUUCCGCACCCGCGGUACCAAUUCGGGAUCCCGGGA
rnacentral:rRNA from 1 species